CCUGCAGACCCAUCCCCUCCCUGCUUCUACAGUGAUUAUUCAAGCACCUGCUUCUUGUCUCCAGUUCUCCAAACCUCUUGUAUUUCUUGCUUUUAUUUCAGAUUCUCUCUGCCCCUCUGGUCUUUGGAGACAGAAACUGAAUCUCUGUCAAGAUAAAGCCUGGGUCCAAGGUCACACUGCUGGCAAGAAGCUGUACUAGGCUGGGACCCAGAUUCGGCAAACUUCAAGUCUUCUGGCUUCAGAGGGUCCCACUAUUGCCGUUGAGGCUGUCCUUGAACUCACUGCAAUCCUCCUGCCUCAGCCUCCUGAGUGCUGGGAUCAACGUCAAGCGCCACCAUGCCUGGCACUUCAGCCGAUAACUGGCUGAGCUUUUAGCUCCUUUUGGAAGAAGACGCAGCUUCGAGGGGCCAGGAAGACUCCCCAAUUUGGAAACAAGUCUGCAGCACUGUCCUAUCUCUGCCACCCAGGAUCCUUGGAGCCUGGGGGCAAAUCAGUCCCCUGCCUGUGAGCCCAGCUGCUUCUAUCAUCUGUGAAGGGGACUCAAAUGGUGCUGCAGGAAGCCAGAAGGGGUCAGGGGACAUCGUGCUAUCUGCCUGGAAGGUGAGCACAUGAAUGCUGUGAAGAAUCUCAGCACA